GCUUGCUUCUUUGCUGACGAGUGGCGGACGGGUGAGUAAUGUCUGGGAAACUGCCUGAUGGAGGGGGAUAACUACUGGAAACGGUAGCUAAUACCGCAUAACGUCGCAAGACCAAAGAGGGGGACCUUCGGGCCUCUUGCCAUCGGAUGUGCCCAGAUGGGAUUAGCUAGUAGGUGGGGUAACGGCUCACCUAGGCGACGAUCCCUAGCUGGUCUGAGAGGAUGACCAGCCACACUGGAACUGAGACACGGUCCAGACUCCUACGGGAGGCAGCAGUGGGGAAUAUUGCACAAUGGGCGCAAGCCUGAUGCAGCCAUGCCGCGUGUAUGAAGAAGGCCUUCGGGUUGUAAAGUACUUUCAGCGGGGAGGAAGGGAGUAAAGUUAAUACCUUUGCUCAUUGACGUUACCCGCAGAAGAAGCACCGGCUAACUCCGUGCCAGCAGCCGCGGUAAUACGGAGGGUGCAAGCGUUAAUCGGAAUUACUGGGCGUAAAGCGCACGCAGGCGGUUUGUUAAGUCAGAUGUGAAAUCCCCGGGCUCAACCUGGGAACUGCAUCUGAUACUGGCAAGCUUGAGUCUCGUAGAGGGGGGUAGAAUUCCAGGUGUAGCGGUGAAAUGCGUAGAGAUCUGGAGGAGUACCGGUGGCGAAGGC
rnacentral:rRNA from 1 species